rnacentral:lncRNA from 1 species
AGCUGAGAAACAUGGAGGCCAAGUUGAAGGCUGCUGAAAACCAGCUGGAGCAAGUGAAGACUGUGAAUGAAGGUACUGAUUCAGCUUUUUAACCCCAAAAACUUCAGUUGAAUACACUCUAAACAUAUGCUCCACUUGUGUGUUUGGCUCAGCUCAAGCUCGUGAAUUGGAGGAGCUCAGUGUGAAGUCAUCUACAACUGAGGAUGAGCUGAGGCAGCACCAGACUACAGUGGUGGACUUAACAGGAAAGGUGAAGGAGAUACAACAAGAGAAUGCAGUCCAAGCUUCUGAGCUCCGGGACCUUGCCAUGAGGUCAAAUUCCACUGAAGGCCUAGUUGAGGAACAGCAGACUGCUUUGGGAACACUGGAAUAUGAAACACAGACACUGAAGACAGAAAAUGCAGGUAGGCUGAAGUGAGGGUGAAAACACUGCCUAUGGUCUGUUCCAACUGAAAAAGGGUUUUGUUGUUGAUACUGGGGAUUAUUUCUGUAUUAACACUAUGAUUACUAAUAGAUAGAUAGAUAGAUAGAUAGAUAGAAAGAUAGAUAAAAAGAUAGAUAGAAAGAUAGAUACGCACAUGGCCAACUGAAAGAGUAGCAAGAAGCAGGUGGACAGACUUCAGGAGGAAAACACAGGUACUAUUUC